GAAGAGAGAGUUAAACAGUACGUGAAACCGUUCGGGGGUAAACGGACAGAGCCCGUGAAUCCGGGCGACGGAAUUCAGAGUCGACCGGCGUUCGCGCGUCGUCGGCUCGAUAUUUCCGCCGCCGCCAACGUUGAGUUUUCACGAAUUCAACGACGGACGUCGCGACCCGUUCGGCGUCAAGGUCCGCAGGAGACGCGCGAAAGUUCGUGUGCGUCGGUCGGGUUUCGGCUCGGUCGGCGUUUCGCGAGUGCGCGUUUACAAGUUUUCUGGCCGACUAUGCCGGACGGUAGACGAAGCGGUGGGCGCGGCGGCCUUGCUUUCAGCGAGCGUCGUCGCGUGACCGGUCCGCGACGAAUCUUCGGGCCUCUUUCCGACCCGUCUUGAAACACGGACCAAGGAGUCUAACGUGCGCGCGAGUCGCGGGGUGUCGAGCGGUUGGCGGCGUUCGCUCUCUCGGGGGCGGGCGUCGUCGGCCGUUCGUUACAAUACGAAACCCGUCUCGUUUUACGAAAGGCGCAAUGAAAGUGAGUUUUUUUUAACGCGGGGAAGAUGACGCUACCGAGUUCACGUUCCGCGCUCUCGAAGCGCGGCCGGUCGUCCGCAUUCCCAGGGCGUCCCAAUGGCCCGGCGGCGUUGCGGGCCGUCGUUCCCUCGGGGACGGCGGUCGGGCGUCGUCGAACCGGGGCGCACCUAUAGCGUGCACGUUGGUACCCGAAAGAUGGUGAACUAUGCCCGGCCAGGAUGAAGUCAGGGGAAACCCUGAUGGAGGUCCGCAGCGAUUCUGACGUGCAAAUCGAUCGUCUGAGCUGGG
rnacentral:rRNA from 1 species